AUGUCGCGGAGUCGUCCCCACGCAUAAAGCACAAACAUCCCGAGACGUCCCCAGAAAGCACCGAGUCGACUCCAACAUCGUCAAAAGAAUUUCUAUACAGCCGAGACGUCUCUCGUUCAAGCGGAGACGUCUCCGGAGCGCUUGGAACGCGACUGACACACUUUUGCAGGUUUGUUUGAAUUUCAAACGGUUAUAUUUUUGUGUCUAACGGAUCUAUUGCUUGUAUGACUAUAAAAAGGAGCUUUUAAGUGCCUUUAAAAGUACUUCUCACCAACC
rnacentral:lncRNA from 1 species